rnacentral:misc_RNA from 1 species
ACCCCCUCCCUCCCUUCCUUCUCCUUUCGCCCCGGACCGUGCUCGUCGACCUCUGCGUGCCUCCUCGUUCGUCUCUUUUUAUGCUGCGUGCCGUCUGCCGCUCUCCGUGUACGCCUGAUGCGCCCGUACCCUCGCUGGUGUGCUGCUUUGCUCGAGGAAGCGGGGAGGGCGAGAAGGAGGGCGACGCCGUAAAGGAUCGGCGCUCUCGAUAUGCGCGGAAAAAAAAACAGCCAUUCAAACAAGAAGCGGUGCUCUGUCUACCACCGCACUGAAGGCAACGGCUAAGGGGCGAUCAUGCUGAUGUAAUAGCGCUACCGCUGUAGAGGUAGUGUUCCGGCUCUCAUAUCCCCAUACGGCAACACAGACGCCUGCGUUGGGUUCUAUCUCUGUCCGUGCGAGCACCAUUCUGUCCGCUCAUCUGUUGCCUCCUCAGCGCGUGUCCGCUUUUGUCUGCCGCACACCACGUGAGGUGAAACGCCACGCGCUACCGCCACCGGGCCCUGUCACACGCCGCCCGUCGUGUGGUGCGAAGCGGCCGUCGACACGCGCCAGGGCGAUGCGCCGCCUCAGCCAUCGGAGCAUGCCCUCGGCCUCAACCUCUCCCCCCACCUACCCACUUCGCACGCCGCCGCGUGGCGCGUCCCCUCCGCCUUCGCGGUGGCUCAG